UACAGAGGUGCCAAGCGUUAGGCGGAAUCACUGGGCUUAAAGCGCGUGUAGGCGGGCCGUUAAGUGUCCGCGGGAAAUCCCACGGCUCAACCGUGGAACUGCCGGGCAUACUGGCGAUCUUGAGGCAUUCAGGGGCGAGCGGAACAAAUGGUGGAGCGGUGAAAUGCGUAGAUAUCAUUUGGAACGCCAAUGGUGAAAACAGCUCGCUGGGAAUGAUCUGACACUGAGACGCGAAAGCCAGGGGAGCGAACGGG
rnacentral:rRNA from 1 species